AAACCUUGCGUUGAUACAUAUAUUCAGGCUGGUAUGGAGCUACGCUGGUCGCAUGUAGCAAAGACCCAUUUUUGCACAACGCCGCUAAAUGUUGGCAAACAUAAAUUUUACUUAUUUCUACAACAGGGAUAUGCAUAUUCUUGGAACUCAUCAUUUGCACAAAAGUGUUUUGUUACCUCCGCGCAGAGAUUUGACUGGAACGAGCAUGGAGAUUGAGUGUUUUGUUGUUUUAUCCAAUAUGAAUUCUGGGCAAAUACACAUUUGAACGAUUUUGAAGGAAGUGAAUUAUCAUUUUUUCUGUUCAUUCUUCAUCGGCACCAAAUUGUUUGUUUAAAGCAAUGUACAUUCUUUGCCGACUCUCAUUUAACUGGUUCGUACGGUUAAUUGUACGCAUGUGUUGCAUUCUUCGUGUGCAUAACGGUAAACCGACUAACAUAACAUAAAGCUUGGGAUCCCAGAAAUGCGACUAAAUUUAGCGACGGGAUUCAAGGAAGGGAAAAACCCUCGGUCAGCAGCAGGAGCGAGCGCGUCGCGACCGAGGCGAGAGUCGCCCGCAGAAGAUUUUCUCACCUGUACAUAUCACACCGUAUUACGCGUCACGUCGAUGGCAGAAUGUUCCGUCGAUGACAGAUAGCUUUACUCGACCGCGUAAACAGAGUUUAUCAAAAUGGGCACCAGUUUUGCAACCUCCGCGCAGAGAUUUGACUGAAACCAGCAAAGCUGGAUCCAAUUGAAUGUGAGAGCAAGGAACGACAACUCUGCAGUGUGAUUGGAAUUCAAGGGAAGGAGUCAAUGAGCUCACAUGUCGUGGACAAACAGGAUAAAGGAACAUGAGAAGACUCUAAGAUACAAAGCGAUGGAAGGGCCGCACCACCAUCCCAGUCCAAUCGUGCCCAACCAGAUUAUUCUACUCUAAUGCCUAAACCAAAACCAUCUCCAGAGCUUCCCAGCCCACCGAAUAGUACCGAAUAGUACCGAAUAGUACCGUCCGAAUCGCGGAGAACACGCUGAUAUUGAUGUGCAAAUUUGUGAAUUAUUUGAUUUGAUCAUGGCUACAUGGUGCAUUUUCUUGUCAUAGUAACGCAUAAAAUCAAGUGUCAUAGCAUUUUAAGUUCUGAUGAAACUUUGUGAAUGAAUAUUUUAACGUUAAGAAGCGACGAGGAAGACCAUCUUUACGGUAUCGUAACCUUUUAAACAAAUAUCCAUCAACCGUAGAUGAAAUGCAUGGUGCAUACUAUAUGGUUAUUAGUGGUAAUCUAAGUGAAACAAAUCAUGGCAUAAUAGUUUAAAAUGUAAUAAAGGAAUUAACGUUUCAUUGGACACAUGUUGAACCAUCAUUAAACGUUGUAUACACAGACAAUGUGCAUCAUCAUCUUUUACCUGAAAACAAGCUGAAAAAAUGCAUGAACAGAUAACACAUUUUCCUAGUAUUGUCGGUGUGUUUAAUAAGUUUCGACAUUAAAUGUUUCGGACAGAUUACAAGUCGAAAGUUCUAGUCUAUGUUGUGAUGAUAUGUAUGUCCAACUUAUUUUCGCUACAUCUUAGUUUUUGGAAACAUUAAACUGUCAGUGAAUGCAUCUUUCUAAAUCAACAAUACAUAUUUUCCAACCAUCA